AACGAACGCUGGCGGCAUGCCUAACACAUGCAAGUCGAACGAGAACUUCGGGUCUCGUGGCGCACGGGUGCGUAACGCGUGGGAACCUGCCCUUAAGUUCGGCAUACCUCCCCGAAAGGGAUGCUAAUACCGGUUAAUGUCUUCGGACCAAAGAUUUAUCGCCUUUGGAUGGGCCCGCGUUGGAUUAGCUAGUUGGUAGGGUAAAAGCCUACCAAGGCGGCGAGCCAUAGCUGGUCGGAGAGGAUGAUCAGCCAAACUGGGAAGAAGACACGGCCCAGACUCCUACGGGAGGCAGUAGUGAGGAAUAGUGGACAAUGGGAGAAAGCCUGAUCCAGCAAUGCCGGGUGAGAGAUGAAGGCCUUAGGGUAGUAAAGCUCUAUCAGCCGAGAUGAUAAUGACAGUACCGGGAGAAGAAGCGACGGCUAACUCCGUG
rnacentral:rRNA from 1 species